rnacentral:rRNA from 1 species
CCUACGGGUGGCAGCAGUGGGGAAUAUUGGGCAAUGGGCGCAAGCCUGACCCAGCAACGCCGCGUGAAGGAAGAAGGCUUUCGGGUUGUAAACUUCUUUUAAGAGGGAAGAGCAGAAGACGGUACCUCUUGAAUAAGCCACGUCUAACUACGUGCCAGCAGCCGCGGUAAUACGUAGGUGACAAGCUUUGUCCGGAUUUACUGGGUGUAAAGGGCGUGUAGCCGGGCUGACAAGUCAGAUGUGAAAUCCGGGGGCUCAACCGCCGAACUGCAUUUGAAACUGUUGGUCUUGAGUAUCGGAGAGGCAGGCGGAAGUCCUAGUGUAGCGGUGAAAUGCGUAGAUAUUAGGAGGAACACCGGUGGCGAAGGCGGCCUGCUGGACGACAACUGACGGUGAGGCGCGAAAGCGUGGGGAGCAAACAGGAUUAGAUACCCUUGUAGUC